GAUGUACGCUGGCGGCGUGCCUAAUACAUGCAAGUCGAGCGAACGGACGAGAAGCUUGCUUCUCUGAUGUUAGCGGCGGACGGGUGAGUAACACGUGGAUAACCUACCUAUAAGACUGGGAUAACUUCGGGAAACCGUAGCUAAUACCGGAUAAUAUUUUGAACCGCAUGGUUCAAAAGUGAAAGACGGUCUUGCUGUCACUUAUAGAUGGAUCCGCGCUGCAUUAGCUAGUUGGUAAGGUAACGGCUUACCAAGGCAACGAUGCAUAGCCGACCUGAGAGGGUGAUCGGCCACACUGGAACUGAGACACGGUCCAGACUCCUACGGGAGGCAGCAGUAGGGAAUCUUCCGCAAAGGGCGAAAGCCUGACGGAGCAACGCCGCGUGAGUGAUGAAGGUCUUCGGAUCGUAAAACUCUGUUAUUAGGGAAGAACAUAUGUGUAAGUAACUGUGCACAUCUUGACGGUACCUAAUCAGAAAGCCACGGCUAACUACGUG
rnacentral:rRNA from 1 species